rnacentral:rRNA from 1 species
UACGGGGGGGGCAAGCGUUGUUCGGAAUUACUGGGCGUAAAGGGCCAGUAGGCGGCCAACUAAGUCGGAUGUGAAAUCCCCAGGCUCAACUUGGGAACUGCAUCCCGAUACUGGAUGGCUUGAAUUCGGGAGAGGGAUGCAGAAUUCCAGGUGUAGCGGUGAAAUGCGUAGAUAUCUGGAGGAAUACCGGUGGCGAAGGCGGCAUCCUGGACCGACAUUGACGCUGAACGGCGAAAGCUAGGGGAGCGAA